ACCUUGCCAUGUUGUUAUUAUUAUGUGACUCUAGAAAAAUAAAAAAGAAACCAAAAAAAGCAACAUAGUUUGAGACUUGUGAGAGUGGGAUAGAAGCAGAAAGUAAGGUAUGGGGAAUAAGAUAAUAGCGCCAUUUGUGGGAAUGGUAAUGGCUAUGGUGUUGCAAAGUGGUAGCAUGGUUGUUAUCAAAGCAGCCAUGAAUGAUGACUUCAACAAAUAUGUCUUGAUUGUCUAUUCUUUGGCACUCUCCACCCUACUUCUUCUCCCCUUUCUCUUCCUUCUACCCAGGUCAGAGCGUCCUACUCUGAGUUUCUCAACACUUUGCAACCUAUUUUUGCUUUCUCUGUGUGGAAGUUCAGGACAAAUAUUUGCAUAUGUGGGCAUAGAUCUCAGCUCACCAACUCUUGCCUCUGCCAUGCUCAACCUCAUUCCAGCUUUAACUUUUGUACUUGCACUUUUAUUCAGGAUGGAAAAAGUUGAAUGGGGACAUUUCAGCAUCCAAGCUAAAGUCUUGGGAACAGUGGUAUCAAUUGGUGGAGCAUUUGUUGUGAUAUUAUAUAAGGGCCCACCAAUCUUCAAGGCACCCAUCUCCUCACUCUCUUCAAUCCCAUUAUCAUUUUCACCUCAUUUUAACUGGAUCUUGGGAGGCUUUUUCUGUGUUGCUGAUUCUUUCGUAGCUUCAAUCUGGUAUAUAUAUCAGGCGUCAGUAAUAAGGAAUUACCCUGCUGUAAUGGUGACAGUGUUCUUCCAACUCUUAUUUUCAACCAUUCAGUGCUCAAUAUUUGCAUUAAUUGCAGUUAGAGAUCAAAGUGCAUGGCAGCUGAAGCUAGACACAGGGUUGAUUGCAAUCUUUUACCAGGCAAUAGCUGCAACAACAUUACGGUACCUGUUAUGCACUUGGAGCGUCCAAAAAGCUGGACCAUUUUUUUGCUCUAUGUUCAAACCUAUUUUAAUCAUCUUCACUGUUAUCAUGGGUGCUCUGUUCCUUGGAGAUGACUUUUACCUUGGAAGAUUUCAAUAGGCUAUCAAAACAAUGAAUGAUUCAACUUCAACUCAGUUGAAUGAGAGCAAUUUGGAUUAUUCUUCUGAAUCCUAUCAAGCGGACGAGGUGUGUUGUAGAUAAACAAUUUGUCCGAAAUGUUGGGAUGACUUUCAAGACACCAGAGGAAGCUAGAAAGUUCUACAAAAAUUAUUCCAAACUUGCCAGUUUUUCUACCAAAAUAAGAAACACGACUCGAAAGGGAGACAAGAUUAAGAACUAAUCGUAUGCAGUAGAGAGGGGAGGUGGAAAUCCAAGAUUUCUCCAACUCUAAAGACAAACCCCUCAGCCGGCACAAAUUGUCCAGCCAGAAUUUUUGUACCCAUAUUGAAGAACGUCGAUCUUUGAACAAUUUCCAAACUUGUUUUGAAUCAUUCACACCUCUGCUAUCCAGACCAAGUAGAGAUGCUCAAACAACAUAGGGAGGUAUUUUGAUAAAAAAGAAUCAAAAUUUCUCUUUCGAGCUCAACCUCGAAGGUGAUCACUCCAUCAAAAACGCAUUCUGGACAGAUGCAAGAUGCAGGGCUGCAUGCGAGUAUUUUGAAGACGUUUUUUCAUUCGACACUACUUACAACACAAACAGGUAUUCGGUUCACAAAAUUAAGUCUUAGGUUCACACAGGCAACACAUUUCGGUUCAUAACUGUUCCCAAUGUCCAUUUUUACAAGUAUAAUCUGGUUUUUGGUUCUUUUGUGGGCAUGAAUCACCACGAUCAGCCAACACUUCUCGGAUGCGCUCUAAUGAAAAAUGAAGACAUCCAAUCAUUCAAAUAGAUUUUCGAGUGUUGGUUCCAUUGCAUGGGAGGGAAGGAACCAAAAGGCAUUCUCACCGACUAAUGGGCAUCGAUGCAAAGGGCCAUCGAAAUGUGCAUGCCAACAACAAUUCACCGGUGGUGCAUCUGGUAUAUCAUGAAGACGAUCCCAAACAAACUAAACGACUACAAGCAACACGAAGAAAUCGAACAAGAGAUGAUCCACGUCAUUUGGAACUCGUUCACAAAAGACGCAAUCGACAGAAACUGGAACGAUUUUGUCAUAAAGUUCGGCGUCAGAAGCAAUAAGUGGCUCUCAGUUAACCGACGUUUUUAAUUCAAAUUAUUUUGAUGCUGUUACUUUUUUUUUUUGUUAAAACGUGCAUAGCUUUCGGUUUAUCCGAGCUCAUGUUUUUCGUUCAUUCUGUAAAGCUAUACGAAGAUUGUCAUUUAUGGAUUCCAGUUUACUUAGAUCACCACUUUUGGGCCGGGAUGAUAAGCACACAAAGGAGCGAGAGCAUGCAUGCAUGUUUCAACAAGUUCAUCACACGGAACAUCUCCUUGAUUCAAUUUGUGAAGUAAUAUGAUAAUUGCCUAGCAAGCAGAGAGCAAAGAGAAAGAGAAUUUGAUGCUGAAGAUUUUCA